rnacentral:tRNA from 2 species
GGAGAGUUGGCUGAGUGGUCUAAAGCGCUGGUCUUGAAAACCAGAGGGCGGUAAAACGCUCCAAGAGUUCGAAUCUCUUACUCUCCUCCA